GUAGUCGAUGGGAAACAGGUUAAUAUUCCUGUACUUGGUGUUACUGCGAAGGGGGGACGGAGAAGGCUAUGUUGGCCGGGCGACGGUUGUCCCGGUUUAAGCGUGUAGGCUGGUUUUCCAGGCAAAUCCGGAAAACCAAGGCUGAGGCGUGAUGACGAGGCACUACGGUGCUGAAGUGACAAAUGCCCUGCUUCCAGGAAAAGCCUCUAAGCAUCAGGUAACAUCAAAUCGUACCCCAAACCGACACAGGUGGUCAGGUAGAGAAUACCAAGGCGCUUGAGAGAACUCGGGUGAAGGAACUAGGCAAAAUGGUGCCGUAACUUCGGGAGAAGGCACGCUGAUAUGUAGGUGAAGCGACUUGCUCGUGGAGCUGAAAUCAGUCGAAGAUACCAGCUGGCUGCAACUGUUUAUUAAAAACACAGCACUGUGCAAACACGAAAGUGGACGUAUACGGUGUGACGCCUGCCCGGUGCCGGAAGGUUAAUUGAUGGGGUUAGCGGUAACGCGAAGCUCUUGAUCGAAGCCCCGGUAAACGGCGGCCGUAACUAUAACGGUCCUAAGGUAGCGAAAUUCCUUGUCGGGUAAGUUCCGACCUGCACGAAUGGCGUAAUGAUGGCCAGGCUGUCUCCACCCGAGACUCAGUGAAAUUGAACUCGCUGUGAAGAUGCAGUGUACCCGCGGCAAGACGGAAAGACCCCGUGAACCUUUACUAUAGCUUGACACUGAACAUUGAGCCUUGAUGUGUAGGAUAGGUGGGAGGCUUUGAAGUGUGGACGCCAGUCUGCAUGGAGCCGACCUUGAAAUACCACCCUUUAAUGUUUGAUGUUCUAACGUUGGCCCGUAAUCCGGGUUGCGGACAGUGUCUGGUGGGUAGUUUGACUGGGGCGGUCUCCUCCUAAAGAGUAACGGAGGAGCACGAAGGUUGGCUAAUCCUGGUCGGACAUCAGGAGGUUAGUGCAAUGGCAUAAGCCAGCUUGACUGCGAGCGUGACGGCGCGAGCAGGUGCGAAAGCAGGUCAUAGUGAUCCGGUGGUUCUGAAUGGAAGGGCCAUCGCUCAACGGAUAAAAGGUACUCCGGGGAUAACAGGCUGAUACCGCCCAAGAGUUCAUAUCGACGGCGGUGUUUGGCACCUCGAUGUCGGCUCAUCACAUCCUGGGGCUGAAGUAGGUCCCAAGGGUAUGGCUGUUCGCCAUUUAAAGUGGUACGCGAGCUGGGUUUAGAACGUCGUGAGACAGUUCGGUCCCUAUCUGCCGUGGGCGCUGGAGAACUGAGGGGGGCUGCUCCUAGUACGAGAGGACCGGAGUGGACGCAUCACUGGUGUUCGGGUUGUCAUGCCAAUGGCACUGCCCGGUAGCUAAAUGCGGAAGAGAUAAGUGCUGAAAGCAUCUAAGCACGAAACUUGCCCCGAGAUGAGUUCUCCCUGAGACUUUAAGUCUCCUGAAGGAACGUUGAAGACGACGACGUUGAUAGGCCGGGUGUGUAAGCGCAGCGAUGCGUUGAGCUAACCGGUACUAAUGAACCGUGAGGCUUAACCUUACAACGCCGAAGGUGUUU
rnacentral:rRNA from 1 species